rnacentral:misc_RNA from 1 species
AGAAUAUCAAUCUCGAAUAAUGACAGAAAGAAAACAAGUAGCUUUCUGAAAAUGGUUUUCUUGGACAACUCUCUAUCAAUGGCAAAAAUUUGGAUCUCUGGACCCUGUAAUCUCCAUCUAAAAAUUAACCACCCACACAUUUCAUCACCUAUUCUUCUGAGACCUUGAAAAAAGUGUAGGAUAGGAUCAAAUUGUUGAUGCCGUCCAUUUUUGGAUCAGUUUCAAACUCAGGAUCAAUGUAGAAGAACACAGGCAUGUCGAUCUGCUCCCCCGGAAGUAGACGUU